CGCGAAGAACCUUACCUGGUCUUGACAUCCACAGAAUUUUUUAGAAAUAAAAAAGUGCCUUUUAGGAACUGUGAGACAGGUGCUGCAUGGCUGUCGUCAGCUCGUGUUGUGAAAUGUUGGGUUAAGUCCCGCAACGAGCGCAACCCUUGUCCUUUUUUGCCAGCGGUUCGGCCGGGAACUACAAGGAGACUGCCGGUUAUAAACCGGAGGAAGGUGGGGACGACGUCAAGUCAUCAUGGCCCUUACGACCAGGGCUACACACGUGCUACAAUGGUACAUACAAAGAGAAGCGAAUUCGCGAGGAUAAGCAAAUCUCAUAAAGUGUAUCUUAGUUCGGACUGGAGUCUGCAACUCGACUCCACGAAGUCGGAAUCGCUAGUAAUCGUGAAUCAGAAUGUCA
rnacentral:rRNA from 2 species